rfam:Yersinia ruckeri strain 37551 YRO1b0000024, whole genome shotgun sequence.
CCAAAUCUCUAUCGUUUCUUACGGUAAAGAAAAACCAGCAGUACUGGGCCAUGACGAAGCAGCGUUCGCUAAAAACCGUCGUGCAGUUCUGGUUUACUAAGAGAAUCGCAUGAACAGUAACUUCAGACGUCACUUGUUG